rnacentral:lncRNA from 1 species
GAGGGCGGAAGCCACGGGACGUGGAGCAGAUGGUGAGGAUAGUGGGGAGGUAGCAGCAGAGGAUGACCCGAGGCAAAAGUGCAAGUGAAGAAAAGUCGCCUUGCCGGGCAGAGGUACGGGACCAAGGCGCCUCCUCUGGGCUGAGGAGUUAGAGGGAAGAAAAUGGCGCCCUGUCAUGAGGGCGCGAGGUCCGAGUUGAGGGGAGAAGACUGAGGGACACAGAAGUGGCCGAAGUGAGGGCGCUGAGGUCAGCCUGAGCUGAGAGGGCCGGCAGAUCACGCCGCAGCCGAAGUGAACGAACUCGAGUGAGGAAAUUACUCCAGGAUUUGAAUCAUCACAAGAGAUUCACCAGAGGAUUUUAUACACUUGGGCUGUGGCAGCAGACUAAUUACAUCACAGCACUAGGCUAAAGAAGAAAAAUCACAUGAUCAUAUCAAUAGAUGCAGAAAAAGCAUCUGACAAAAACCAGCUCUCAUUCAUGAUCAGAACUCUCAGCAAACUAGUAAUAGAGGGGAACUUACUCAACUUGAUAAAGAACAUAUGCAAAAAUCUUUCAGCUAACAUCGUACUUAAUGGUAAGAAAUUGAAGCUUUCCCACUAAGAUCAGGAGCAAGGCAAGGACGUCUCCUUUGACCAACCCUUUUCAACAUCAUAUUUAUUGGAAGUCCUAGCUAAUGCAAUAAGACAAGAAAAA